rnacentral:rRNA from 1 species
UACGGAGGGUGCAAGCGUUAAUCGGAAUUACUGGGCGUAAAGCGCGCGUAGGCGGUUUUUUAAGUCGGAUGUGAAAGCCCCGGGCUCAACCCGGGAACUGCAUCCGAUACUGGAAGACUAGAAUGCGGGAGAGGGAGGUAGAAUUCCAUGUGUAGCAGUGAAAUGCGUAGAUAUAUGGAGGAAUACCAGUGCGAAGGCGGCCUCCUGGCUCGACAUUGACGCUGAGGUGCGAAAGCGUGGGGAGCAAACGGG